rnacentral:rRNA from 1 species
GACGAACGCUGGCGGCGUGCCUAAUACAUGCAAGUUGAGCGAUGAAGAUUGGUGCUUGCCCCAAUUUGAAGAGCAGCGAACGGGUGAGUAACGCGUGGGGAAUCUGCCUUUGAGCGGGGGACAACAUUUGGAAACGAAUGCUAAUACCGCAUAACAACUUUAAACAUAAGUUUUAAGUUUGAAAGAUGCAAUUGCAUCACUCAAAGAUGAUCCCGCGUUGUAUUAGCUAGUUGGUGAGGUAAAGGCUCACCAAGGCGAUGAUACAUAGCCGACCUGAGAGGGUGAUCGGCCACAUUGGGACUGAGACACGGCCCAAACUCCUACGGGAGGCAGCAGUAGGGAAUCUUCGGCAAUGGACGAAAGUCUGACCGAGCAACGCCGCGUGAGUGAAGAAGGUUUUCGGAUCGUAAAACUCUGUUGGUAGAGAAGAACGUUGGUGAGAGUGGAAAGCCCAUCAAGUGACGGUAACUACCCAGAAAGGGACGGCUAACUACGUG